rnacentral:ncRNA from 2 species
ACCUAGGGCGCGAGCCCGGGCGGA